AAUUAUGUAGCGUAGUGGUUUGAGCGUCAGACUAUGACUCUGGAGACCAGGGUUCAAAUUCCAGGUCAGCCG